GAUGAACGCUAGCGGCAGGCCUAAUACAUGCAAGUCGAACGGUGUCUUCGGACAUAGUGGCGCACGGGUGCGUAACACGUAUGCAACCUACCUUACAUUGGGGGAUAGCCUUUCGAAAGGGAGAUUAAUACCGCAUAAGACAGUAGCUGGGCAUCCAGCAGCUGUUAAAGAUUUAUCGAUGUAAGCUGGGCAUGCGUCCAAUUAGCUAGUUGGUGAGGUAACGGCUCACCAAGGCAAUGAUUGGUAGGGGAACUGAGAGGUCAAUCCCCCACACUGGCACUGAGAUACGGGCCAGACUCCUACGGGAGGCAGCAGUAGGGAAUAUUGGGCAAUGGACGCAAGUCUGACCCAGCCAUGCCGCGUGCAGGAUGAAGGCGUUAUGCGUUGUAAACUGCUUUUAUACAGGAAGAAACGACUCUUGCGAGAGGCAUUGACAGUACUGCAUGAAUAAGCACCGGCUAACUCCGUGCCAGCCGCCGCGGUAAGAC
rnacentral:rRNA from 1 species